GCUCCCGCCCACAACCUUGCGGGGACUCGAUAGCAAAGGGAGGAGAGGGGCGUGGACCCUGCCAGGCGCUCGCCGAUUCCAACCGUGGAAAUGCCGGCUCCGGCCCCCAGGUCUGCCCUGAAGUCUAGCUGCUGCCACAGAAGUCAGAAGUUCUCGUUCACAAGCGGGUGCACUCAUCGGUUCGCUCCGGGGCGUUUCUUGGCUGGAAUCCGGGCAUCGCCAGCGGGCCACCGGGACGCAAAGCCGGCCCAGGCCGCCCGCCUCCAGCCAGGGCCCGGUCGGGGGCCGCGGGCGGCGGGGCGGGAUCCAAGAUCAUCGGCCGCACCCUUCGCAGUCGAACAAGAGACGGCAACUUUUGUACUCUGUGCGACGCCCGGGGCCCCACCCGAACUCCGCGCUGCGGCUUCCCGCCUGGAACAAAGGCAGGCUCCCCACCCUGGUCUGCGUCUGAAUAUCGCAGGCACGCAGGAAUUGAG
ensembl:lncRNA